rnacentral:sRNA from 1 species
GAAGUAGAUGUAAGCUUUUAGUUUAGAGGUUCCAAAAUAUGACUGAAGUAGAUGUAAGCUUUUAGUUUAGAGGUUACAAAAUAUGACUGAAGUAGAUGUAAGCUUUUAGUUUAGAGGUUACAAAAUAUGGCUGAAGUAGAUGUUAGCUUUUAGUUUAGAGGUUACAAAAUAUGACUGAAGUAGAUGUAAGCUUUUAGUUUAGAGG